AGUGAAUAGAUACCCCGGUAGUCCACGCUGUAAACGAUGAGUGCUGGACGUUGGCGGGUUUACCUGCCGGUGUCGCAGCUAAACGCGUUAAGCACUCCGCCUGGGGAGUACGGCCGCAAGGUUAAAACUCAAAGGAAUUGACGGGGGCCCGCACAAGCGGUGGAGCAUGUGGUUUAAUUCGACGCAACGCGCAGAACCUUACCAGCCCUUGACAUGGGCGGACGGGGUCCAGAGAUGGACUCUUUCUCGCAAGAGACCGCUACACAGGUGCUGCAUGGCUGUCGUCAGCUCGUGUCGUGAGA
rnacentral:rRNA from 1 species